GACGAACGCUGGCGGCGUGCCUAAUACAUGCAAGUCGAACGCAGUGGGGACGGGUGAGUAACCCGUUGGUAACCUCCCAUCAGAGGGGAUAACACUUGGAAACAGGUGCUAAACCGAUACUGAUGGAUGGACCCGCGGGGCAUUAGCGAGUUGGUGAGGUAAAGGCUCACCAAGGCCACGAUGCAUAGCCGACCUGCGCGGGUUAUCGGCCACACUGGGACUGAGACACGGCCCAGACUCCUACGGUAGGCAGCAGUAGGGAAUUUUCGGCAAUGGACGAAAGUCUGACCGAGCAACGCCGCGUGAGUGAAGAAGGUUUUCGGAUCGUAAAACUCUGUUGUUAGAGAAGCGGUAUCUAACCAGAAAGCCACGGCUAACUACGUGCCAGCAGCCGCGGUAAUUC
rnacentral:rRNA from 1 species